GUACUAUUUAAAGCACGCGUAGGAGUGUUUUAUCACAUAUAAAACACGACUCGUAUCAAAAACGACUCAUCUUAUACGAGUUCAUUGGCGAAGUAAUUUUUAAAAUAAACUUUGUCUAAACCGAGAAAAUCAAAGCUAAAGUUCAUGUAAAUUAACAUGAUUUUUUAUCACAUAUAAAACCACGACACGCUUAUGAUUUUUCUUUGUGUUUUC
rnacentral:lncRNA from 1 species